UAAGGCCUUUUUUUAAAAGCACCACAGCUAUUUGGGAACACAGAAGCCACAAUGCGCUUGAUCCCUUGUGUGCUCCAUUUUUGUGUUUACGCUGAGGUGGUUCUCUAUUCUUAGGUCUACAAACUCUAGGUAAAUGGCUUAAAAAAAAAAAAAAAAAAAAAAAAAAAACCUGAGAUACUUUAGCCCCGCUUUCAUGGAACCCAAACUGUUAUGUAAUGGGUGGGGCGCAUAUGCUAUUCUAAGGAAGGCAAACUUGAUUGGAUGAAUCCCCCAGCCUUUUCCACUGGUUCGGCUGAGGGUUAAGUUUUGAAGAGAGACAGAAAAAGGGGAUUGUCUCCACUUACUAGAGAGACUUUGGAGAGGGGCUGGCCUGAUGGCCUUAGUCUGGAGGUUUGGCAUGGAAUACAGUGGCCAAAGAAAGAUCCCUCGGGAUGGAUGCAGGAGGGAGUUUUGAAACUAGGAGGUUGAGUGUGUGAAGCUGUUUGCGGGGCUGUAAUAGUUCAUUCUCUUUCCCCUGCAAUCUCCCUUUAUCAGUGUUGGCUGUGGAAGAGGCCUCUCAUGGGGAGUUUUGUUUUUCUGAGCUUUGCAUUUUGUCGGGGUGCAUGGGGGAGGAAACCACAGGGUGUCAGUUGACACCCACAUCAAUGCAGUUACAGGACAGGAACUGUACUGGGGGGCGGCGGGCUGACCCCUCCGAAAGCCACCUACUUAGAAGCCAGGAGCUUGGGGCAAGGCUGCUGAGGGCAGUGAUGGGAUGGAGGGCUCUGGGAAAGGGCUGCUGAUGUCCCGGAAGGCAGGAUGGAGGUGGGAGCUGAUCUCUGGAAAUUAGAAGGAAGGGAAACCACAGCUGUUCCCAGCAGAAGUCCUUUGUUGGCCUGUGUUUCUCUCUCCCCUCCCUCUUUGGGAAGGGGAUUAGUUACCAAGUAUGUAUCUUUACACAACUUCGAAUUUUCUCACCCUUGGGAGAUAUUCUUUAGUUUCUCCAUAACUUUGUCGUGGGAGCUCUGGGUCGCUUUUCCAGGGCCCCUGGGGGAUGGAACUGAGCUCUGACUCCAGGGCAAUGUUUAUUCUACCACGCUACAUGCAGGUGACACGGACCUUGGAACGUCUGGAGGGCGAACUUCACUGGGGGCAGGGGGCCCUCUGCUGACUUAGGCUCUACAAGGCCCCAGUCGAGGAAUUUAGCCUCAUUCCUCUGGUUCCUACAGUUUAGAUCUCCCCCUGGUGAUGAGUGUAAUGUUUGUUGAUUGUACUCAGGCAAACCACACGCAAAACUCAGCCCUGACAAUCUAUCGUCUAAUAAUUUUAAUACCAACUGAGGAUCCUUGUCUGAGUCAGUGACUUCAUCGGGGACUGAAAAGUGAUGAUUUUGCAUGUUUGUUUAGCUCCAUCUGCCUGUAUUAGCUGCUGUUCUGUAAAGUUCAGCUUUCACUUAUCAACUAGGACUACUGGUUUCUAGAAAUAAAAGUCUUCCUGGAAAGGCAGAAUUAAUGCAAAAAGUUUUCAAAGUCAGGAGCUGGCUUAAUGUCUACCUCAAAUGGUGACAAGGAGGUUUUAGUGACCAUCUGAUAAUCAUGGAGAACUUUGGGAGUUUCACAGACCUAACUCAUCUCACUUAACGGUGAUCUCGAUGCUCAAAUGGGGCCACAUUAGGCCGCUGGGAACCACAUCAUCCCGGCUUUUGUGUCCUUGUGAUGUGACCCCAGCGGCCUUCGAAAGCUUCUUUACUUUGAGGCCCCGGAUAACCUGAGCACCCGUACGUCCCUCUUCCUAACCUGGAGCCAGCCUUUUUCCAAGGGGCUCUGGCUAUUUUUAUGGUUAACGAAUCUGACUAGGAACCAUGAGGUUGUGGGUUCGAUUCCUGGCCUUGCUCAGUGGGUUAAGGAUCCGGCUUUGCUGUGGCUCUGGCGUCGGCUCCGAUUAGACCCCUAGCCUGGGAACCUCCAUAUGCCUCGGGAAGUGGCCCUGAAAAGGCAAAAAAUAGUGUUCUAUAAAGGCACCAUCAUUCUUACUGAAUAAGUCUGUGCAGUCAGAGUCUAACAUAAUUUUUUUUUAAAAGGCUAUUAAAUAGGAAGCCUAGGAAAACUGUACUGGCCUGCAAAAUUUUCACUGUCUUUAACCUAUUGGUUAGGGCUAUCCUUUACCAGCUAUUCCAGAUAUUAUGAGACUAAAAUGUUUUUAUUAAGAAUUCUCAAUUCUCUUCCCUGUAGACAGUCCCAGAAAAGCAACCUCCAAAGGAAGAGACUAAAAAACACACGCUACAUUUUCUCUGGGUUUAUUUAUGGAUUUCCGCUGAGUUGUAUCAUUUUCCCAGCUUUACCUCCAUCAUAACAUCUGUAGGCACUUCUAUUGGUCAGGGCUUAAUUUUGUGGAAGAGAAUCAGAAUUUAGAACUGCAGGACUGUGUUCUAAUCUAGUUCUGGGGGUGAGAAAACGGGCUGGCAGAGCCGGUGGUAGAGGCAGAAGGAGGAAUUCAGGACGUCCCCACCCACCCCAGCCCCUCCAGUCCCACUUGCCACACGGCCACUCAGUGCCUGCACAGUUUGGGAAGAGGAAAAGGUCAAGAUCAAACUAGAACUCACUAUGGUGAGACCUGGUGACCGAAGCCGGAAAAGAAUCAAGAAUGGAAAUCCAAGCGAUCAGCAUUUAGCCACAGAAAACAGGAGGGGCUCCAGUGGUUAAACACACACACACACACACACACACACACACACACCCAAAGGGACGAGGGUUACAAAGUCACGUUACAGCAGUGCAUGAAAACAGAAACUAUCCUAUGGAGAGGGUUGAGAGCCUUCGUGGGGCAUUUUGAACGCUUUCCGGGGAGAGUGGCUGGUGGAAAAGAGAGCAUCCAGGUGCUGUUUAAUGGACAACAUCAAGCAAAAGACCCCAAGCCUAGGACACUGACAUUAGCUGUAUGUUUAUGCUUCAACAUUGCUACAUUUCUAAAAAUGCAAAUUACAUUUUGCCAAGUAUUUCUUAUCUAUACUGUGGGAGGUCAGAAAAAAGCAGUGCUCCAUGAUAUUGAUGUCUGGGUAAUUCCUAGUUCUUCUUUUAACAACUUUUAUCCUCUAUUUUAUUAAGAUAUUGAGGUGUUCCCAUUGUGGCUUAUUGGGUUGAGAACGGGACACGGUGUCCAUCCAUGAGGAUGUGGGUUCGAUCCCUGGCCUCACUCAGUGGGUUAAUGAUCUGGUGUUGCUGUGGCUGUGGUGUAGGCCAGAGGCUACAGCUCUGAUUUGCCUGGGAACUUGCAUAUGCCACAGGUGCCGCUGUAAAAAGCAAAACAAGUUCACAAAAAUAUCAACUCCUUAUGUUGUACAUCUGAAAGUAAUAUAAUACUCUAAGUGGCCUAUACUUCAGCGAAUAAGCAAACAAGCCAGCGAAGGCCACGAUGAUGAUGACUUAGGUUCCCAGGGCCCACACCCCCUCUGGUGGAGGCCAUAAAAAGUCACCGAAUUCCCACACACCGAUGUCCUAAUGUUACCUGGUCAGGGGUAACUCGAAGACUUUGUUUUACUAUCAGCAACACCUUGAGCUUUGUAAAGAUUAACAGGGCUUGUGGCCUUCGAUGUCUAUUGCCAGAUGAUGACAUACGAAAAAUCUUUUUCUUCACUCACCAUUUGACCCCACGUGGCUCCUCCUCUAUGCAUGCGUCCUGGUGGUAAGAAAGGCAGUUCUUCCUCCUCUUCAAUCCUGGGCUGUUCAAGAGUGGAAUCAUUUUGUGAAAGAAGUUAAAGUGCAGACAGCAAUAGCAUUUUUGAUAUUGUUCAGUGCUGCCAGGCCCUGAUUUCUGCUGCAGCAAAUCUCGUAUUACACAGAGUGGUCUUCUCGCUACCCCUCCCUCCAUAUUUUCAUAUAUUAGAUUUUUUAAAGGCUGAAUUAUGAACUUUUCAGAGUUCUAGGUUUAUGAAUCUCGUUGGCUUUCAAGAUAUCCUGGCUCGUAGACGUAAGAAUACUAGAUUCUUGCACUAUAAUGACAUAAAAAAGAAUUUGAUAUUUCUAUCUCCGGCUUAAAAUAAACAUACAAUGUUUUUCAAGAAAUAGUACCCAACGCUUUCAAAUAAUCUGCCUUUUAUAUUACAUCAUUCUUUUAUUGUUAUUAUUUUUUGGCUUUUUUGUUGUCAUUGUUGUCUUUUCAGAGCCACACCCGCAGCAUAUGGAGAUUCCCAGGCUAGGGGUCUAAUCGGAGCUGUAGCCGUCGGCUUGUGCCACAGCCACAGCAACUCGGGAUCUGAGCCAUGUCUGUGGCCUACACCACAGCUCACAGCAACGCUGGAUCCUUAACCCACUGAGCAAAGGCAAGGAUCAAACCCGCAACCUCAUGGUUCCUAGUCAGAUUCGUUUCUGCUGCACCACAACGGGAA
rnacentral:lncRNA from 1 species